rnacentral:sRNA from 1 species
GACUACUCAGGUAGCGGCCGUAGCCUCCCGGGGGCCCGGCCCGGAGCGGUCCGGCGGGCCUGCUGGGUCUGCAGUGGGGUCUCUUUCUCCCCCUAGAAGCCGAGCAGACGGACGAGGAGCUGCGCGAGGAGAUCCACAAGGCAAACGUGGUGUGUGUGGUGUAUGACGUCUCCGAGGAGGCCACCAUUGAGAAGAUUCGAACUAAGUGGAUCCCACUGGUGAAUGGGGGGACCACGCGGGGGCCCAGGUAAUGAGGGGGAUGUGGAAGGGGCUGGGACCCCCGGCUCCCCUGCCCCUGGUGACCAUGGGCCUUCAACCCAGGGUGCCCAUCAUCCUAGUGGGCAACAAGUCAGACCUGCGGUCGGGGAGCUCCAUGGAGGCCGUGCUCCCCAUCAUGAGCCAGUUUCCGGAGAUCGAGACCUGCGUGGAGUGUUCGGCCAAGAACCUGAGAAACAUCUCAGAGCUGUUCUACUACGCCCAGAAGGCUGUCCUGCACCCCACAGCCCCUCUCUAUGACCCUGAGGCCAAGCAGUUGAGGCCCGCGUGCGCCCAGGCACUGACGCGCAUCUUCAGGCUCUCAGAUCAGGACCUGGACCAGGCGCUCAGUGACGAAGAGCUCAACGCUUUCCAGCAGAAAUCCUGCUUUGGGCACCCCCUGGCCCCACAGGCCCUGGAGGACGUGAAGACGGUGGUGUGCAGGAACGUGGCGGGCGGCGUGUGGGAGGACCGACUGACCCUGGAUGGUUUCCUCUUCCUGAACACGCUCUUCAUCCAGCGCGGGCGGCACGAGACCACGUGGACCAUCCUGCGGCGCUUCGGCUACAGCGAUGCACUGGAGCUGACAGCCGACUAUCUCUUCCCUCCGCUCCACGUGCCCCCCGGCUGCAGCACUGAGCUCAACCACCUUGGCUACCAGUUUGUGCAAAGAGUAUUUGAGAAGCACGACCAGGUGA